rnacentral:rRNA from 1 species
AGAGUUUGAUCCUGGCUCAGGACGAACGCUGGCGGCGUGCUUAACACAUGCAAGUCGGACGAGACGAUUUAGAAGCUUGCUUUUAAAGAGUCGAGUGGCAAACGGGUGAGUAACGCGUAGACAACCUGCCUUUGAGAUGGGGACAACAGUCCGAAAGGACUGCUAAUACCGAAUGUUGUAACUCCCUCGCAUGAAGGAGAUACUAAAGAUGGCCUCUACUUGUAAGCUAUCGCUCAAAGAUGGGUCUGCGUCUGAUUAGCUUGUUGGCGGGGUAACGGCCCACCAAGGCGACGAUCAGUAGCCGGUCUGAGAGGAUGAACGGCCACAUUGGAACUGAGACACGGUCCAGACUCCUACGGGAGGCAGCAGUGGGGAAUCUUCCGCAAUGGGCGAAAGCCUGACGGAGCAACGCCGCGUGAGUGAAGAAGGUCUUCGGAUCGUAAAGUUCCGUUAUACGGGACGAAUGGUACGACGGCCAAUACCCGUCGUAAGUGACGGUACCGUAAGAGAAAGCUACGGCUUAACUCCGUGCCAGCUGCCGCGGUAAUAUUUUUGUUGGCAAGCGUUGUCCGGAAUUAUUGGGCGUAAAGGGC